GAUCAUGGCUCAGGAUGAACGCUAGCUACAGGCUUAACACAUGCAAGUCGAGGGGCAGCAUGGGAGUUGCUUGCAAUUCCUGAUGGCGACCGGCGCACGGGUGAGUAACGCGUAUCCAACCUUCCCCUUAGUAGGGCAUAGCCCGGUGAAAAUCGGAUUAAUACCCUAUGUUUUCCAAUGCAGACAUCUAAAAUGGAACAAAGGUUUACCGCUAAGGGAUGGGGAUGCGUCUGAUUAGGUAGUAGGCGGGGUAACGGCCCACCUAGCCUUCGAUCAGUAGGGGUUCUGAGAGGAAGGUCCCCCACAUUGGAACUGAGACACGGUCCAAACUCCUACGGGAGGCAGCAGUGAGGAAUAUUGGUCAAUGGGCGAGAGCCUGAACCAGCCAAGUAGCGUGCAAGGAUGACGGCCCUAUGGGUUGUAAACUGCUUUUAUAUGGGGAUAAAGUUCACCACGUGUGGUGUUUUGCAGGUACCAUAUGAAUAAGGACCGGCUAAUUCCGUGCCAGCAGCAGC
rnacentral:rRNA from 1 species